rnacentral:rRNA from 1 species
GACGAACGCUGGCGGCGUGCUUAACACAUGCAAGUCGAACGAAGUGGCGAACGGGUGAGUAAGGCGUAAUCAACCUGCCCUUCAGAGGGGGACAACAGUUAGAAACGACUGCUAAUACCGCAUACUGAAGGAGGGGAUUGGGACUGAUGAGCUAGGUGGAGGGGUAACGGCCCACCAAGGCGAUGAUCAGUAGCCGGGCUGGGAGGCUGAACGGCCACAUUGUGACUGGGACACGGCCCAGACUCCUCCGGGAGGCAGCAGUGGGGAAUCUUCCGCAAUGGACGAAAGUCUGACGGAGCAACGCCGCGUGAGUGAUGACGUCCUUCGGGUUGUAAAGCUCUGUUAAUCGGGACGCGGUACCGGAAUAGAAAGCCACGGCUAACUACGUGCCAGCAGCCGCGGUAAUUC